rnacentral:rRNA from 1 species
AUACGUAGGGGGCGAGCGUUGUCCGGAAUGAUUGGGCGUAAAGGGCGCGUAGGCGGCCCGGUAAGUCUGGAGUGAAAGUCCUGUUUUUGAGAUGGGAAUUGCUUUGGAUACUGUCGGGCUUGAGUGCAGGAGAGGUAAGUGGAAUUCCCAGUGUAGCGGUGAAAUGCGUAGAGAUUGGGAGGAACACCAGUGGCGAAGGCGACUUACUGGACUGUAACUGACGCUGAGGCGCGAAAGUGUGGGGAGCAAACAGGAUUAGAUACCCUGGUAGUCCACACUGUAAACGAUGAAUGCUAGGUGUAGGGGGUACCGACCCCUUCUGUGCCGCAGUCAACACAAUAAGCAUUCCGCCUGGGGAGUACGGCCGCAAGGUUGAAACUCAAAGGAAUUGACGGGG